GCAUGGUUCAGUCGGUAGAGCAGGAGAGUCUUAAUCUUGGGGUCAUGGGUUUGAGCCCCACGUGGGGCA